rnacentral:rRNA from 1 species
GACGAACGCUGGCGGCGUGCCUAAUACAUGCAAGUCGAACGCAGUGGGGACGGGUGAGUAACACGUGGGUAACCUCCCAUAAGAGGGGAUAACACUUGGAAACAGGUGCUAAACCGCUACUGAUGGAUGGACCCGCGGUGCAUUAGCUAGUUGGUGAGGUAACGGAUCACCAAGGCAACGAUACAUAGCCGACAGGAGAGGGUGAUCGGGCACACUUGGAAUUAGACACGGCCCAGACUCCUACGGGAGGCAGCCGGAGGGAAUCUUCGGCAAUGGACGGAAGUCUGACCGAGCAAAGCCGCGUGAGUUAAGAAGGUUUUCGGAGUGUAAAGCUAUGUUGUAAGAGAAGCGGUACCUUACCAGAAAGGGACGGCUAACUACGUGCCAGCAGCCGCGGUAAUAC